rnacentral:rRNA from 1 species
GAUGAACGCUGGCGGCGUGCCUAAUACAUGCAAGUCGAGCGAACAGACGCUGCUCUUGCUCCUCUCACGUUUGCGGCGGACGGGUGAGUAACGCGUGUAUCACCUACCUAUCAUACUGGUAUAACUUCGGGAAACCGGCUCUAAUCCCGUAUAAUAUAUUGCACCGCAUGGUUCAAUAGUGAAAGACGGUUUUGCUGUCACUUAUCGAUGCUUCCGGGCCGCAUUAGCUAGUUGUUAAGGUAACGGCUUACCACGGCGACGAUGCGUAGCCGACGUGAGAGAGGGAUAGGCGACACUGGAACGGAGACAGGGUCAAGACGCCUAAGGGAGGCAGCAGUAGGGAACGGUACGCAAUGGGCGAAAGUUUGACGGAGCAAGGCGGAGUGAGAGACGAAGGCCUUCGGAGCGGAAAAACGGGUUAUGAGGGAAGAACAAAUGUGGAAGGAAACAAGGAGGGAGUGACGGUAACGAAUAAGAAAGCAACGGCUAACUACGUG